ACGGCUCAGUAACACGUUGCUAACCUACCCUUAGGACGGGGACAACCCCGAGAAAUUGGGGCUAAUCCCCGAUAGGUGUGAUGUCCUGGAAUGGUAUCACGCCUAAAGGUCCCAACAGCAUGUUGUUGUUACGCCUAAGGAUGGGGCUGCGGCCGAUCAGGCAGUUGGUGAGGUAAUGGCUCACCAAACCUUUGACCGGUACGGGCCAUGAGAGUGGUAGCCCGGAGAUGGAUACUGAGACAAGGAUCCAGGCCCUACGGGGCGCAGCAGGCGCGAAACCUCCUCAAUGCACUGAAGUGUGAAGGGGUUACCUCGAGUGCCAUCUGAAGAAGGUGGCUUUUCCUUGGUCUAAAUAGCCUUGGGAAUAAGAGGGGGGCAAGACUGGUGUCAGCCGCCGCGGUAACACCAGCCCCUCGAGUGGUGGGGAUGAUUAUUUGGCCUAAAGCGUCCGUAGCCGGCCGAGUAAGUUUCCCGUUAAAUCCAGCGUCUCAAGCGUCGGACUGCGGGAAAUACUGCCCGGCUAGAGAGUGGGAGAGGUAAGCGGUAUUCUGGGGGUAGGGGCGAAAUCCUUUGAUCCCCGGAGGACCACCAGUGGCGAAGGCUGCUUACUAGAACACGUCUGACGGUCAGGGACGAAAGCUGGGGUAGCGAACCGGAUUAGAUACCCGGGUAGUCCCAGCUGUAAACGAUGCACGCUAGGUGUUGGGUCGGCCACGCGCCGCCCCAGUGCCGCAGGGAAGCCGUUAAGCGUGCCGCCUGGGGAGUACGGCCGCAAGGCUGAAACUUAAAGGAAUUGGCGGGGGAGCA
rnacentral:rRNA from 1 species